UGCCUGCUGGUGUAAAUGGUUAGCACACGAGACUUUGGCUCUCGGAGACGGGGUUCAAGUCCUCGGCAGGCAGCCA
rnacentral:tRNA from 1 species